AGGGUGACAACCCCGUCGAGUCCGGAGUUCGUCGCUCCACGAGAACCUGUCUGCGAGUCGGACUGUUUGGGAAUGCAGUCCUAAGUGGGAGGUAAAUUCCUUCCAAGGCUAAAUAUUGGCAGGAGACCGAUAGCGAACAAGUACCGCGAGGGAAAGAUGAAAAGGACUUUGAAAAGAGAGUUAAAAGUGCUUGAAAUUGCUGGGAGGGAAGCGAAUGGAAGCUGCGGGUGCACCCCGGUUGGAUGUGGAACGGCUCGCGCUGGUCUGCCGCUCAACGCGGGGUGCUGGUCAGCGUGGGCUACCGCGGCGGGACAAGUGCGGGAAAUCGUUUUCCGCCCAUGCCGUUGCGGUGGCCGAGGAACGAAGCGCGCGCUGUCAAAGGCGUGGUCUCGACCAACUGCGCGCUCGGGACGCUGGCGUAUUGAGCUCUUCAUCCGACCCGUCUUGAAACACGGACCAAGGAGUCUAACAUGUAUGCGAGCCGGUGGGCGGCAAACCCAUUGAGGCGCAAGGAACCUGACAGGUGGGAGCCCGUUGAGGGCGCACCAUCGACCGACCGUGAUCUUCUGUGAAAGGUUUGAGUGUGAGCACACAUGUUGGGACCCGAAAGAUGGUGAACUAUGCCUGAGCAGGGCGAAGCCAGAGGAAACUCUGGUGGAGGCUCGUAGCGAUACUGACGUGCAAAUCGUUCGUCAGACUUGGGUAUAGGGGCGAAAGACUAAUCGAACCAUCUAGUAGCUGGUUCCCUCCGAAGUUUCCCUCAGGAUAGCUGGAGCUCGUGUACAAGUUUUAUCAGGUAAAGCGAA
rnacentral:rRNA from 1 species